CUAGAGCGGUUCUAGACUCGGUUCUAGACUCGGUUCUAGAAGGUUCUAGAUCGGUUCUAGACUCGGUUCUAGACUCGGUUCCAGAGCUGGUUCUGGGUUCCAGGAGAGCUUCCAGGUCCAGGUGAGGUCCCAGGAGAGGUUCCAGGUUCCUGGAGCUGUUCCUGGAGAUGUUUCAGGUCCCAGGUGAGGUUCAGGUGAGGUUCAGGUGAGCCCAGGUGAGGUUCAGGUGAGGUUCCAGGUUCCUGGAGCUGUUCCUGGAGAUGUUCCGGGUUCCAGCUGAGGUUCAGGAGAUGUUCAGGUGAGAUUUAGGUGAGGUUCCAGGUCCAGAUGAGGUCCCAGGAGAUGUUCCAGGUUCCUGGAGAGGUUCCUGGAGAUGUUUCAAGUCCCAGGUGAGGUUCAGGUGAGGUUCAGGAGAUGUUCUGAGGUUCAGGAGAUGUUCCUGGAGAUGUUCCAGGUUCCAGUUGAGGUUUCAGGAGAUGUUCCAGGAGAUGUUCUGAGGUUCUGGAGCUGUUCCAGGUUCCAGGAGAUGUUCCUGGAGAUGUUUGAGGUCCCAGCUGAGGUUCUCUGUGUCUCCACAGGUGGCCAGGUGUCAGGUGACACUCGCGUGGUGGGUGGCCACGCCUGCGUGCCGCACUCCCAGCCCUGGCAGGUGACAGCUGAGGGACAGGGCAGGGACAGGAGAGGUCCAGGAGAGGUUCCAGGUUCCUGGAGAGGUUCCUGGAGAUGUUCCAGGUUCCAGAUGAGGUCCCAGGAGAUGAUCCAGGUUCCAGGAGCUGUUCCAGGAGAUGUUCUGAGGUUCAGGAGAUGUUCCUGGAGAUGUUCCAGGUUUCAGGAGAUGUUCCUGGAGCUGUUCCAGGAGAUGUUCCAGGUUCCAGGAGAUGUUCUGAGGUUCCUGGAGAUGUUCCAGGAGAGGUUCCAGGUUUCAGUUGAGGUUCAGGAGAUGUUCCAGGAGAUGCU
rnacentral:lncRNA from 1 species